GAAUUUUGGACAAUGGGGGCAACCCUGAUCCAGCCAUCCCGCGUGUGCGAUGAAGGCCUUCGGGUUGUAAAGCACUUCUGGCAGGGAAGAAAAGGCUCCGGCUAAUCCCUUGAUCCGCUGACGGUACCUGCAGAAUCAGCACCGGCUACCUCCGCGCCAGCAGCCGCGGUAAUACGUAGGGUGCAAGCGUUAAUCGGAAUUACUGGGCGUAAAGCGUGCGCAGGCGGUUCGGCAAGAAGGAUGUGAAAUCCCAGGGCUUAACCUUGGAACUGCAUUCUUAACUGCCGGGCUAGAGUAUGCCAGAGGGGGGUAGAAUUCCGCGUGUAGCAGUGAAAUGCGUAGAGAUGCGGAGGAAUACCGAUGGCGAAGGCAGCCCCCUGGGAUAAUACUGACGCUCAUGCACGAAAGCGUGGGGAGCAAAC
rnacentral:rRNA from 1 species